ACUUUAGCAAUGUCACAUCGGAUGUUUGGAUGCUAAUUAGGAAGACUAAACAUGAGCUAAUUAUAAAACUAAUUGCAGAACCCUGUGCUAAUUCGCAAGAUGAAUAUAUUAAGCAUAAUUAAUUCAUCAUUAGCAAAGGGUUAAUGUAGCACUACAUUAUCAAAUCAUGAACUAAUUAGGCUUAAUAGAUUCAUCUCAUGAAUUAGACUCAUCUGUGCAAUUAGUUUUAUAAUUAGUCUAUUUUUAAUACUUUUAAUUAGCAUCAAACAUCGGAUAUGACAGGUACUAAACUCCAUGCUUG
rnacentral:lncRNA from 1 species